rnacentral:rRNA from 1 species
AGGUCAAGCUAUUAAGAGCAUAGGGUGAAUGCCUUGGCACCAGAAGCCGAUGAAGGACGUGAUAAGCUGCGAAAAGCUGCGGAGAGGCGCAAAUAGCCAUUGACCCGCAGAUGUCCGAAUGGGGGAACCCACCUGGGGUAAAUGCCCAGGUACAUGUAUGUGAAUACAUAGCAUACAUGGGGGAGACGUAGGGAACUGAAACAUCUAAGUACCUACAGGAAAAGAAAACAAAAGUGAUUCCGUAAGUAGUGGCGAGCGAAAGCGGAUUAGCCCAAACCGGGGUACAGCAAUGUAGCCCGGGGUUGAGGACCGGCGGAAUGAUUCGGAGUAUCUAGCAGAAUGAGGCACUGGAACGUGCAGACCAUAGAGGGUAAAAGUCCCGUAUGCGAAAGAUAUGAAGACAGGCCGGGAUCCAGAGUACCACAAGGCACGUGAAACCUGGUGGGAAGCAGGGAGGACCACCUUCCAAGGCUAAAUACUAACUGGUGACCGAUAGUGGAGCAGUACCGUGAGGGAAAGGUGAAAAGAACCCCGGGAGGGGAGUGAAAGAGAACCUGAAACCCUAUGUUUACAAGCAGUUGGAGAGCGUUAAGGCUCGACAGCGUACUUUUUGUAGAACGGUCCGGCGAGUUAUAGUAUGUGGCAAGGUUAAGUACUAGAGGUACGGAGCCGAAGGGAAACCGAGUCUUAACAGGGCGACAAAGUCACAUGCCAUAGACCCGAAACCGGGUGACCUAUCCAUGGACAGGUUGAAGCGGGAGUAAAAUCCCGUGGAGGACCGAACCACGUGACCGUUGAAAAGGUCUGGGAUGAGCUGUGGAUAGCGGAGAAAUUCCAAUCGAACUCGGAGAUAGCUGGUUCUCCCCGAAAUAGCUUUAGGGCUAGCCUCUAAUGAAAGUCUAGCGGAGGUAAAGCACUGAAUGGGCUAGGGGCCUUACCAGGUUACCGAACCCUAUCAAACUCAGAAUGCCGUAUAGACGAUGUUAGGGAGUCAGACUACGGGAGAUAAGUUUCGUAGUCAAAAGGGAAACAGCCCAGACCAUCAGCUAAGGUCCCAAAAUCACAGUUAAGUGGAAAAGGAUGUGGGUUUGCUAAGACAACUAGGAUGUUGGCUUAGAAGCAGCCAUUCAUUCAAAGAGUGCGUAAUAGCUCACUAGUCGAGUGAGCCUGCGCCGAAAAUUACCGGGGCUAAACUGUGUACCGAAGCUAUGGACUCAGAAAUGGGUGGUAGGGGAGCUUACUGUCGUAGGCCGAAGCACGAUCGUGAGGACGUGUGGACGAAACAGUAGUGAGAAUGCCGGAAUAAGUAGCGAGAGUAAAGUGAGAAUCUUUACCGUCGAAAACCUAAGGUUUCCUGGGGAAGGCUCGUCCGCCCAGGGUAAGUCGGGACCUAAGCCGAGGCCGAAAGGCGUAGGCGAUGGACAACAGGUUGAAAUUCCUGUACUACCGUCUCUUGUUUGAGAGAGGUGGGGACGCAGGAGGAUAGGCUAAGCGAGUAACUGGAAAAGCUCGUCCAAGGGAGGUAGAUAGUCCGGUAGGCAAAUCCGCCGGACGUUUCGAAGGCCUGAUGGGGAGGGAAAAUAAAGUACCGAAGUAGCCGAUUCCACACUGACGAGAAAAGCCACUAUCGAGAGAGAAGGUACCCGUACCGCAAACCGACACAGGUAGGUGAGGAGAGAAUCCUAAGACGAGCGGGAGAAGCGUUGUUAAGGAACUCGGCAAAUUGACCCCGUAAGUUCGCGAGAAGGGGUGCCUGUAGGAAUACAGGCCGCAGUGAAAAGGCCCAAGCAACUGUUUAUCAAAAACACAGGUCUCUGCUAAAUCGAAAGAUGACGUAUAGGGGCUGACGCCUGCCCGGUGCUGGAAGGUUACGGGGAAUGCUUAGCGCAAGCGAAGGCAUGAACUUAAGCCCCAGUAAACGGCGGCCGUAACUAUAACGGUCCUAAGGUAGCGAAAUUCCUUGUCAGGUAAGUUCUGACCCGCACGAAUGGCGUAAUGAUUUGGGCACUGUCUCGACAACGCACCCGGUGAAAUUGUAGUACUUGUGAAGAUGCAAGUUACCCGCGACUAGACGGAAAGACCCCAUGGAGCUUUACUGUAGCCUGAUACUGGGUUUCGGUAUUCUUUGUAUAGGAUAGGUGGGAGGCAGAGAAGUAGCGGCGCCAGCCGCUAUGGAGCCGACGUUGGAAUACCACUCUAAGAGUACUGGAACUCUAACCAGAGUCCAUAAGCUGGACUUGGGACACUGUCAGGUGGGCAGUUUGACUGGGGCGGUCGCCUCCCAAAAGGUAACGGAGGCGUCCAAAGGUUACCUCAGCGCGGUUGGAAACCGCGCAACGAGUGCAAAGGCAUAAGGUAGCCUGACUGUGAGAGAGACACCUCGAGCAGGUACGAAAGUAGGGCUUAGUGAUCCGGUGGUAUGAAAGUGGAAUUGCCAUCGCUCAACGGAUAAAAGCUACCCUGGGGAUAACAGGCUUAUCUCCCCCAAGAGUCCACAUCGACGGGGAGGUUUGGCACCUCGAUGUCGGCUCAUCGCAUCCUGGAGCUGUAGCAGGUUCCAAGGGUUUGGCUGUUCGCCAAUUAAAGCGGUACGCGAGCUGGGUUCAGAACGUCGUGAGACAGUUCGGUCCCUAUCUGUCGCGGGCGCAGGAUAUUUGAGGGGAUCUGUCCUUAGUACGAGAGGACCGGGAUGGACGAACCUCUGGUGCACCAGUUGCAUUGCCAAGUGCAGAGCUGGGUAGCCAAGUUCGGCAGGGAUAAACGCUGAAGGCAUCUAAGCGUGAAACCCACCCCAAGAUGAGAUAUCCCAUUCGAAAGAAGUAAGACCCCAUGAAGACUACAUGGUAGAUAGGCCGGAUGUGGAAGUGCAGUAAUGUACGAAGCUGACCGGUACUAAUAGGUCGAGGGCUUGACCAAGAA